CCAAGCUGCUGGCAAGAGGGGAGACUUUGGGCAUACUUUCUCCUCUCCCACAAAGAUCUACCAAAAGGAAAGGGAAGGAGAGAAGAAAGGGAGGAAGAAGGGUCUCUGCCCUCUCAUGAAGAGGAUCGGUCAGAGGGUUAGCAGUUUCUAUAUGACACAGCCCAUCAGGGUCACUUGAAGAGAGCAGCAAUAUGUCAGCAGAAUUCCACUCCUCCUCCUAUAAGAUUUCAUCAGAUGGCAAUGUGCAGAAAGAACAAAGCCUCACACUCUCUCUGUCACAUCAUAGCCAUUGUCUACAAUGGGAAAAUAUCAUUCCGGAUCAGAGCCAAGGUCCUUCUACCUCAUUAUCCAAGCUCAAAGGCCAGCACUAGUUGCUUUAGAGAUCUGCAGGACUAUAACAAAGAAGAAGGCAGAAGGAAAAAGCUGACAAAGUAGGCAGCCAAGACACUGGAAUCCUGGAAGGGAGAGGCAAAAUCCUGAUGAAACACAGCAAACAUCUGAG